UACGAAGGGGACUAGCGUUGUUCGGAAUCACUGGGCGUAAAGCGCACGUAGGCGGAUGUGUCAGUCAGGGGUGAAAUCCCGGGGCUCAACCUCGGAACUGCCUUUGAUACAGCACGUCUCGAGUCCGGAAGAGGUGGGUGGAAUUCCGGGUGUAGUGGUGAAAUGCGUAGAGAUCCGGAGGAACGCCAGUGGUGCAGCCGGCCACCUGGCCCUGACCUGACACUGAGGCGCGACAGCGUGGGGAGCGAACCGG
rnacentral:rRNA from 1 species